UACGUAGGGUGCAAGCGUUAAUCGGAAUUACUGGGCGUAAAGCGUGCGCAGGCGGUUUUGCAAGACAGAUGUGAAAUCCCCGGGCUCAACCUGGGAACUGCAUUUGUGACUGCAAGGCUAGAAUCUGGCAGAGGGGGGUAGAAUUCCACGUGUAGCAGUGAAAUGCGUAGAGAUGUGGAGGAACACCGAUGGCGAAGGCAGCCCCCUGGGUCAAGAUUGACGCUCAUGCACGAAAGCGUGGGGAGCAAACAGG
rnacentral:rRNA from 1 species